rnacentral:rRNA from 1 species
UAGGGUUUGGUGUUGAGCAAUACGACUUGGGUUUGCUUGAAAGAUGAUAGUGGUAAGGCGGAGAUUGCUUGACAAUGGCUUAGGUGUAACCAAAAACAUUGCUAAGGCGGUCUCUGGCGUCGCCCAUUUUAUUCUUCAAACUUUGACCUCAAAUCAGGUAGGACUACCCGCUGAACUUAAGCAUAUCAAUAAGCGGAGGAAAAGAAACCAACAGGGAUUGCCUCAGUAGCGGCGAGUGAAGCGGCAAAAGCUCAAAUUUGAAAUCUGGCGUCUUUGGCGUCCGAGUUGUAAUUUGAAGAAGGUAUCUUUGGGCCCGGCUCUUGUCUAUGUUCCUUGGAACAGGACGUCACAGAGGGUGAGAAUCCCGUGCGAUGAGAUGGCCCGGGUCUAUGUAAAGUUCCUUCGACGAGUCGAGUUGUUUGGGAAUGCAGCUCUAAGUGGGUGGUAAAUUCCAUCUAAAGCUAAAUAUUGGCGAGAGACCGAUAGCGAACAAGUACAGUGAUGGAAAGAUGAAAAGAACUUUGAAAAGAGAGUGAAAAAGUACGUGAAAUUGUUGAAAGGGAAGGGCUUGAGAUCAGACUUGGUAUUUUGCAAGUUACUCUUUCGGGGGUGGCCUCUGCGGUUUACCGGGCCAGCAUCGGUUUGGAGCGGUAGGAUAAUGGCGGGGGAAUGUGGCACGACUUUGGUUGUGUGUUAUAGCCUCUGACGAUACUGCCAGCCUAGACCGAGGACUGCGGUUU